AUUGAACGCUGGCGGCAGGCUUAACACAUGCAAGUCGAGCGGGGAAGGUUGCUUCGGUAACUAACCUAGCGGCGGACGGGUGAGUAAUGCUUAGGAAUCUGCCUAUUAGUGGGGGACAACAUUCCGAAAGGGAUGCUAAUACCGCAUACGUCCUACGGGAGAAAGCAGGGGAUCAUUUGACCUUGCGCUAAUAGAUGAGCCUAAGUCGGAUUAGCUAGUUGGUGGGGUAAAGGCCUACCAAGGCGACGAUCUGUAGCGGGUCUGAGAGGAUGAUCCGCCACACUGGGACUGAGACACGGCCCAGACUCCUACGGGAGGCAGCAGUGGGGAAUAUUGGACAAUGGGGGGAACCCUGAUCCAGCCAUGCCGCGUGUGUGAAGAAGGCCUUUUGGUUGUAAAGCACUUUAAGCGAGGAGGAGGCUUACCUGGUUAAUACCUGGGAUAAGUGGACGUUACUCGCAGAAUAAGCACCGGCUAACUCUGUGCCAGCCGCCGCGGUAA
rnacentral:rRNA from 1 species